GCGGCCGUGGUGUAGUGGUAACACAGGAGCUUGUGGAGCUCUUAUCACGGGUUCAAUCCCCGUCGGUCGCC
rnacentral:tRNA from 1 species